rnacentral:rRNA from 1 species
CCCAGACAGCCAGGAUGUUGGCUUAGAAGCAGCCAUCAUUUAAAGAAAGCGUAAUAGCUCACUGGUCGAGUCGGCCUGCGCGGAAGAUGUAACGGGGCUAAACCAUGCACCGAAGCUGCGGCAGCGACACUAUGUGUUGUUGGGUAGGGGAGCGUUCUGUAAGCCUGUGAAGGUGGCCUGUGAGGGUUGCUGGAGGUAUCAGAAGUGCGAAUGCUGACAUAAGUAACGAUAAAGCGGGUGAAAAGCCCGCUCGCCGGAAGACCAAGGGUUCCUGUCCAACGUUAAUCGGGGCAGGGUGAGUCGACCCCUAAGGC